UACGUAGGGGGCAAGCGUUGUCCGGAAUUAUUGGGCGUAAAGAGCGCGUAGGCGGUCCGGUAAGUCAGCUGUGAAAGUCAAGGGCUCAACCCUUGAAAGCCGGUUGAUACUGUCGGGCUAGAGUCCGGAAGAGGCGAGUGGAAUUCCCGGUGUAGCGGUGAAAUGCGCAGAUAUCGGGAGGAACACCUAUGGCGAAGGCAGCUCGCUGGGACGUUACUGACGCUGAGACGCGAAAGCGUGGGGAGCAAACAGG
rnacentral:rRNA from 1 species